CUUCUCUUCUUCUUCUUCUUCUUCUUCUUCUUCUUCUUGUUCUUCUUCUUCUUCUCCUCCUCCUCUUCCUCUUCUCCUCUGCUCCUCCUCCUCCUCUUCUUCUCUGCUCCUCCUCCUCUUCUUCUUCUUCCUCUUCUUUCUAUUAAGCUAACUAACUAACUAACCUAAAUAACCAAGCUAACUAAACCUAUCACUAAACC
rnacentral:lncRNA from 1 species